AGGGACCCAGCUCUGCCUAUUAGGGCAGCAGCUUGCGUGUCCAGGGCGCCGGCUUCAGUGCCUGACUCCACCUGGGGCCAGAGCGGCGCAGGGCUCCAAGCUCUCUCCCUUGAGCAGCAGAAAGGAAGGUGGGGAGGGAGGCCAGGGAGGGUGCGGGCCUGAGGAGGCCGGUGAGGACGCAGGCAGCCA